rnacentral:rRNA from 1 species
UACUCGAGUGGCGAACGGGUGAGUAACACGUGGGUGAUCUGCCCUGCACUUCGGGAUAAGCUUGGGAAACUGGGUCUAAUACCGGAUAGGAACCAUCUUUAGUGUGUGUGGUGGAAAGUUUUUUCGGUGUAGGAUGAGCUCGCGGCCUAUCAGCUUGUUGGUGGGGUAAUGGCCUACCAAGGCGGCGACGGGUAGCCGGCCUGAGAGGGUGUACGGCCACAUUGGGACUGAGAUACGGCCCAG